rnacentral:misc_RNA from 1 species
AAAGUCGUAACAAGGUUUCCGUAGGUGAACCUGCGGAAGGAUCAUUAUCGUGGGGCUCCGGCCCCGUCGAGAUAGAACCCUUGCCUUUUUCGAGUACCGCCCGUUUCCUCGGCAGGUCCGCCUGCCAACGGGGACAACCAAAACCCUUUUUUAUCUGUAAUCGUCUGAACAAAAACAAACAAUCAAAACUUUCAACAACGGAUCUCUUGGUUCUG